rnacentral:rRNA from 1 species
AUUGAACGCUGGCGGCAGGCCUAACACAUGCAAGUCGAACGGUUACAGGGAGCUUCUUCCUGCUUCCCUGACCGGACGCGGACGUGAGAGUAAUGUAUCGGCCACUUACUGAUGGAUGACGACCACUACUGGACACUGUAACUAAUUCCGCCUUACGUCGCAAGACCGGAGAGGGGGACAUUAGAGCCUCUCACAUUCGCAUAUGCCCAGAUGGGAUUAGCUAGUUGGUGGGGUAACGGCUCACCUAGGCGACGAUCCGUAGCUGGUCUGAGAGGAUGACCAGCCACACUGGAACUGAGACACGGUCCAGACUCCUACGGGAGGCAGCAGUGGGGAAUAUUGCACAAUGGGCGCAAGCCUGAUGCAGCCAUGCCGCGUGUGUGAAGAAGGUCUUCGGAUUGUAAAGUACUUUAAGUGGGGAGGAAGGGCAGAAAGUUAAUACCUUUCUGCUUUGACGUUACCCGCAGAAGAAGCACCGGCUAACUUCGUG